rnacentral:rRNA from 1 species
UACGUAGGGUGCGAGCGUUAAUCGGAUUUAUUGGGCGUAAAGGGCUCGUAGGCGGUUUGUCGCGUCGGGAGUGAAAACCUUGGGCUUAACUCAGGGCUUGCUUUCGAUACGGGCAGACUAGAGGUAUGCAGGGGAGAACGGAAUUCCUGGUGUAGCGGUGAAAUGCGCAGAUAUCAGGAGGAACACCGGUGGCGAAGGCGGUUCUCUGGGCAUGAUCUGACGCUGAGGAGCGAAAGUGUGGGGAGCGAACAGG